GCCGGAGUAGCUCAAGUGGAAGAGCGCCGCACUCGUAACGCGGAGGCCGGGGUUUCGAAUACCCCCUCUGGCUCCA
rnacentral:tRNA from 1 species